rnacentral:rRNA from 1 species
UACGGAGGGUGCAAGCGUUAUCCGGAUUCACUGGGUUUAAAGGGUGCGUAGGUGGAUGGGUAAGUCCGUGGUGAAAUCUCCAAGCUUAACUUGGAAACUGCCGUGGAUACUAUCUAUCUUGAAUACCGUGGAGGUGAGCGGAAUAUGUCAUGUAGCGGUGAAAUGCUUAGAUAUGACAUAGAACACCAAUUGCGAAGGCAGCUCACUACCCGCCUAUUGACACUGAGGCACGAAAGCGUGGGGAUCAAACAGG